rnacentral:rRNA from 1 species
AUUGAACGCUGGCGGCAGGCCUAACACAUGCAAGUCGAACGGUAACAGGAAACAGCUUGCUGUUUCGCUGACGAGUGGCGGACGGGUGAGUAAUGUCUGGGAAACUGCCUGAUGGAGGGGGAUAACUACUGGAAACGGUAGCUAAUACCGCAUAACGUCGCAAGACCAAAGAGGGGGACCUUCGGGCCUCUUGCCAUCGGAUGUGCCCAGAUGGGAUUAGCUAGUAGGUGGGGUAACGGCUCACCUAGGCGACGAUCCCUAGCUGGUCUGAGAGGAUGACCAGCCACACUGGGACUGAGACACGGUCCAGACUCCUACGGGAGGCAGCAGUGGGGAAUAUUGCACAAUGGGCGCAAGCCUGAUGCAGCCAUGCCGCGUGUAUGAAGAAGGCCUUCGGGUUGUAAAGUACUUUCAGCGGGGAGGAAGGGAGUAAAGUUAAUACCUUUGCUCAUUGACGUUACCCGCAGAAGAAGCACCGGCUAACUCCGUG